GUCGCCUUGAGCCUCUCGGGCCGAAGACGUGCCAUGGGCUAGCCCCAUCGGUUCUCUUCGCCCAAACAACAAACCCCCGGCGCCGAACGCGCCAAGGAACAUGAUUCUAAGGGCGUUCUCUUGUCGUCCCGGCAACGGUGCACGUGCAAUGAGUGACGCGAAAUUUGUAUCCAAAAUGACUCUCGGCAACGGAUAUCUCGGCUCUCGCAUCGAUGAAGAACGUAGCGAAAUGCGAUACUUGGUGUGAAUUGCAGAAUCCCGUGAACCAUCGAGUCUUUGAACGCAAGUUGCGCCCGAAGCCAUUAGGCCGAGGGCACGUCUGGCUGGGUGUCACGCAACGUCGCCCCAACCCCCACGCCCAUCGCAGGGCGUCGGGGGUCGAGGGCGGAUGAUGGCCUCCCGUGAGCCACGCCUCGCGGAUGGCCGAAAUAAGAGUUUGCGAUGUGGCGAGCACCACGGCGCACGGUAGUUGAGUAAACAACGCUCGAGCCCAGUCGUGCGUGCUCCGCCCCCGUGGCGAGCUCGGAGACCCUAUCGCGUCUCGGGACGCUUCUGAUGCGACCUCAGCUCAGGCGGGGCUACCCGCUGAGUUUAAGCAUAUC
rnacentral:rRNA from 1 species